rnacentral:rRNA from 1 species
UACGUAGGGUGCGAGCGUUGUCCGGAAUUAUUGGGCGUAAAGAGCUCGUAGGCGGUUUGUCGCGUCGACUGUGAAAACCUACAGCUUAACUGUGGGCUUGCAGUCGAUACGGGCAGACUUGAGUUCGGUAGGGGAGACUGGAAUUCCUGGUGUAGCGGUGAAAUGCGCAGAUAUCAGGAGGAACACCGGUGGCGAAGGCGGGUCUCUGGGCCGAUACUGACGCUGAUGUGCGAAAGCCAGGGGAGCGAACGGG